AAGCUGUCUCUUUUUACAAUUUUUGAAUUUUACUUUUAAGUGAAAAGGCUUAAAUAAUUUGGGGGGACGAUAAGACCCUAUAAAAUUUUACAAAAUUGGGAUUUUUUUUUGAAUUAAGGUUUAAAUUCUAUAAGUUCUUAUUUGUUUUGUUGGGGCGGCAAAGAUAAAAAUUAGUAACUGUCAUUUAAUUAGAAUAAUUAUAAUUAGUUUAAUUGAUCCUUUAUUAGAGAUUAAAAGAUUAAGUUACUUUAGGGAUAACAGCGUAAUUUUCCCUGAGAGUUCUUAUCGACGGGAGUAGUUGCGACCCCGAUGUUGAAUUAAGGAUAAG
rnacentral:rRNA from 1 species